rnacentral:lncRNA from 1 species
UGACUUCGUGUUAAACUAAAGCUGAGCUAAAGCAAAUUCAGACAAUAACUACUUUACUUCUAGACAUGAUACCAUGACCAUGCCAGAGAAAAUCGCCUCAUACCAAGAUGAGCCUUGGCAAGUCUUCAGGCCCAACACCUUAAGGUCACUUGUGUUGCCAAGAUGCCAAGAGAACUAUUGGAAACUUGGGGAACACAGUAGGCAUUGCAGCUGACUGAUUUUAUUUGGGAAUUCUAAAACAGAGGGAAUGUGGGCCCUGUGGGCUGACCCAUGUUUCAGGCAACGAGUCCCACCAAUGAGUUUUUAAAGGAACAAGUUGGCUCUGUGUUUAGUUCUGCAUCUCUUUUUCCUUCUGAUGACUGAUAAACCUGGAAGGGAAGGACUUUCAUGUCAAUAGCUGGAGGGCCAAGUUUCCUGUGGUAAAUAUAGAGGACCUUUCAGUUGGUGCAGGGUCAAUUCUGUCUGAAGACAAAACCUUUUUAUCCCUUUAAAGCACAAAGAGAGGGAGCCCAUUAGAGACAUGAAACAACACGCAGUUUAUAUGUAAUUG